AGGAUUACUCUCUUGUCCGUCUCCGAGUCCCUUAUAUCGCCGGCUUUCUUGCCUUCAGAGAGGUUCCAAUACUUUUACCACUUAUUGAGAAGAUGAAGAACAGCCAAAAUCCUUACUACCCACAGGUGAUAAUGGUUGAUGGCAAUGGAAUGCUUCAUCCUCGAGGUUUUGGUUUGGCUUGUCAUCUGGGCGUUCAGGCUAAUCUUCCCACCAUUGGAGUUGGAAAGAAUCUGCAUUAUGUGGAUGGUCUUAAUGAAGAGGAAGUGAUAAGGCUUCUUCAAGCUGGAAGAAGAAGCGGUGAAGAUUUUGUUAAAUUGGUGGGAGACUCGGGGCGCAUAUUGGGAGCCGCAAUGAGACCACCUAGAGGCUCACAAGAUCCUAUAUAUAUUUCAAUUGGUCACCGUGUAUCACUAGAUACUGCCAUCAGAAUUGCCAAAAUAACUCGCCAGUAUCAUUUACCAGAGCCUGUCCGACAGGCUGAUUUAAGAUCAAGAGACUACAUCCGUGAGCAUAAACCAAUGUUGUUAAAUCUGGCAAAUAGUACCUGGAAAACUACUGCUGCUAU
rnacentral:misc_RNA from 1 species